CCUACGGGUGGCAGCAGUGGGGAAUAUUGGACAAUGGGGGCAACCCUGAUCCAGCCAUGCCGCGUGUGUGAAGAAGGCCCUCGGGUUGUAAAGCACUUUCAGUGAGGAAGAACGCCUGGUGGUUAAUACCCAUCAGGAAAGACAUCACUCACAGAAGAAGCACCGGCUAACUCCGUGCCAGCAGCCGCGGUAAUACGGAGGGUGCGAGCGUUAAUCGGAAUUACUGGGCAUAAAGCGCGCGUAGGUGGCUUGAUAAGCCGGUUGUGAAAGCCCCGGGCUCAACCUGGGAACGGCAUCCGGAACUGUCAAGCUAGAGUGCAGGAGAGGAAGGUAGAAUUACCGGUGUAGCGGUGAAAUGCGUAGAGAUCGGGAGGAAUACCAGUGGCGAAGGCGGCCUUCUGGACUGACACUGACACUGAGGUGCGAAAGCGUGGGUAGCAAACAGGAUUAGAUACCCGGGUAGUC
rnacentral:rRNA from 1 species